UACGAAGGGGGCUAGCGUUGCUCGGAAUUACUGGGCGUAAAGGGCGCGUAGGCGGGUCGUCAAGUUGGGGGUGAAAGCCCGGGGCUCAACCUCGGAAUUGCCUUCAAAACUGACGACCUAGAGUUUGGGAGAGGUGUGUGGAACUCCGAGUGUAGAGGUGAAAUUCGUAGAUAUAGAGAAGAACACCAAAAGGCGAAGGCAGUUAACUAUUCUGUUCCUGACGUUGAGGCACGAAAGCGUGGGGAGCAAAACGG
rnacentral:rRNA from 1 species